AGCAGCCGCGGUAAUUCCAGCUCCAAUAGCGUAUAUUAAAGUUGUUGCAGUUAAAAAGCUCGUAGUUGAAUUUCGGGAUCAAUUUAUCGGUCGUGCAAUAGUACGUACUGGUUUUAUUGGUUCCUACCUUCUGAUGAACCAUGAUGCCAUUAAUUUGGUGUCAUGGGGAAUCAGGACUGUUACUUUGAAAAAAUUGAGUGUUUAAAGCAGGCUCACGCUUGAAUACAUUAGCAUGGAAUAAUGAAAUAGGACGUUUGAUUCUAUUUUGUUGGUUUCUAGGAUCGACGUAAUGAUUAAUAGGGAUAGUUGGGGGCAUUAGUAUUCAAUUGUCAGAGGUGAAAAUUCUUGGAUUUAUUGAAGACUAACUACUGCGAAAGCAUUUGCCAAGGAUGUUUUCAUUAAUCAAGAACGAAAGUUAGGGGAUCGAAGACGAUCAGAUACCGUCGUAGUCUUAACCAUAAACUAUGCCGACUAGGGAUCGGAUGAUGUUAAUUUUUAAUGACUCAUUC
rnacentral:rRNA from 1 species